rnacentral:rRNA from 1 species
UACAGAGGGUGCGAGCGUUGUCCGGAAUCACUGGGCGUAAAGGGCGCGUAGGUGGCGACCCAAGUCGAUGGUGAAAGCCCGGGGCUCAACCCCGGGUCGGCCGUGGCAACUGUCGAGCUGGAGCACUGUAGAGGCAGGUGGAAUUCCGGGUGUAGCGGUGGAAUGCGUAGAGAUCCGGAAGAACACCGGUGGCGAAGGCGGCCUGCUGGGCAGUGGCUGACGCUGAGGCGCGACAGCGUGGGGAGCAAACAGG